rnacentral:rRNA from 1 species
UACAGAGGUCUCAAGCGUUGUUCGGAUUCAUUGGGCGUAAAGGGUGCGUAGGUGGCGCCGUAAGUCGGGUGUGAAAUUUCGGAGCUUAACUCCGAAACUGCAUUCGAUACUGCCGUGCUUGAGGACUGGAGAGGAGACUGGAAUUUACGGUGUAGCGGUGAAAUGCGUAGAGAUGUGGAGGAACACCAGUGGCGAAGGCGACUCUUUGGCCUGUAACUGACGCUGAGGCGCGAAAGCGUGGGGAGCGAAACAGG